rnacentral:lncRNA from 1 species
GUCAGGACGAGGAGAAAGAGAAAACACGAGGCACAGAUUUCCACAGCACAUUGGACACAGCGUGACCCUUUGACAGGCGCCAUGAGAAGCAGAGCGAAAACUGUUCCAUUAAUGAGGCAGCGCGAGGGAAAUGAUGAGGCCCAAAGAAACACGCUGUAAAGUUCAUUCACGCACAUUCGGCAAGUGUCAAUGAGCUGGACGCCGGGAGCAGAUGCAUGUUGGGCGCUGGGCUGUCGAUACGCUCUCAGACAAGCAGCUGUCCAGUGUCUGUGGCGCCGUAACAAGCUGCAGAGCCUCACCUCGGCCUCACCUCUGGCCUCGGCUGGGCCGGCCAUCUGGGGGCCCGGUGCCUCCAAUCCUGAUAAUAACGGUGGCAUUGAUCGCUGCGCCUGGGAUGGCCAAUUACUGCUCCCAUAGCAUCUAAUGAGGAGCAAUCGCUUCUGGCAAUUACUACACGAAGGUCCUGAGAUGGAAAGCUGCAAACGCAAGAAGGUGCAAGUGAGACAAAUUACCACAGCAGCCAUACAUGGAAAGUAAAUUAAACUAAAUAAAAAUGCAAACGUUUUUAUGAUCUUUACAUACAUAUCACAUGGGGAGAAAUAAAAACAUUAUAAAUAUAUUAUUAUUUAAGUUCAUAAGAAGCAAGUGAUGGAUUUUCUUUUACUUUUAUUAUUAAUUUUUGAAAUUUAGCUGUGAUGCUCGUAAUGGUCACAAGGGGCGUUACAACAAGAAUCUGAUCCGAAGAAGAAGUACGCAGCGUGGCGGGCACUUUUUUCCCCUUAAUGCUAAUUUUUAUUCAUUUUUCUUUGUUUUGUUGUUGUGUUUAUAUUAAUUUUCUUCAUCGUCUAGAGAAAUAAUUUAUUGAUAUUUUAUCUGACCAACACUGUACCAGUGGGUGGAAACGUGGGGCCAGCUCCAGGAUCGUUAACAAGUUGUUAUGAGACCUCAACCUGUGACUCUUGGAGUGGAUGCAGGCCAGCUGUCAGACAACAGACACGACAGACAUGUGAGGAGCGACGACUGCGAUGCGAGAUCUCCAGAAGGAGAGUGGGGCUCUUCGUGCUCAAACCAACGCUCAAACCUCAGUUUCACACGCUGGCUGUUGCGCGGCUGCAGCUGGGUUUUCCGUGACCUGAUCCUGAUGAGAACCCAACAACGCGGCCGGGUAUGAGGGAUACUGCAUGUGACCCAGAAACAUGGAAUGUAGUAGACGAGAGAGACAGGUUCCUCAUGUUUCACUUCAGUCCUUUGAUAGAGAAGAAACAGGAAAAUCUCUUUUCCCUAAAUAAAACCAUGAUUGGAAAAAAAGGAACCCGUGAA